rnacentral:rRNA from 1 species
CGCCUGUUUAUCAAAAACAUCGCCUCUUGCUAACAAUAAAGUAUCAGAGGUCCCGCCUGCCCUGUGACAGCAAUGUUUAACGGCCGCGGUAUUUUAACCGCGCGAAGGUAGCGUAAUCACUUGUCUUUUAAAUGGAGACCUGUAUGAAUGGCAUAACGAGGGUUUAACUGUCUCCUCCCCCCAGUCAAUGAAAUAGAUCUGCCCGUGCAGAAGCGGGCAUAAUAACAUAAGACGAGAAGACCCUAUGGAGCUUUAGGCAAAUGAUCACGCACACCAAGCCCUAUUUCUUACUACUAAAAUCCGGGUAAAACAAACGCUAAUGAUCAAUCCGCCUUCGGUUGGGGCGACCGCGGAGGAAAGAAAAGCCUCCGAGUGGAACGGGAUAACCCUUAAACUAAGAAAAACAAUUCUAAGCAACAGAAGUUCUGACCAAAUGUGACCCAGGACAAACCUGAUCAACGAACCAAGUUACCCUAGGGAUAACAGCGCAAUCCUCUCCCAGAGUCCAUAUCGACGAGAGGGUUUACGACCUCGAUGUUGGAUCAGGACAUCCUAAUGGUGCAGCCGCUAUUAAGGGUUCGUUUGUUCAACGAUUAAUAGUCCUACGUGAUCUGAGUUCAGACCGG